AUUGAACGCUGGCGGCAUGCCUUACACAUGCAAGUCGAACGGUAACAGGUCUUCGGAUGCUGACGAGUGGCGAACGGGUGAGUAAUACAUCGGAACGUGCCUAGUAGUGGGGGAUAACUACUCGAAAGAGUGGCUAAUACCGCAUGAGAUCUACGGAUGAAAGCAGGGGAUCGCAAGACCUUGUGCUACUAGAGCGGCCGAUGGCAGAUUAGGUAGUUGGUGGGAUAAAAGCUUACCAAGCCGACGAUCUGUAGCUGGUCUGAGAGGAGGAUCAGCCACCCUGGGACUGAGACACGGCCCAGACUCCUACGGGAGGCAGCAGUGGGGAAUUUUGGACAAUGGGCGCAAGCCUGAUCCAGCAAUGCCGCGUGCAGGAUGAAGGCCUUCGGGUUGUAAACUGCUUUUGUACGGAACGAAAAGCCCCGGGUUAAUACCCUGGGGUCAUGACGGUACCGUAAGAAUAAGCACCGGCUAACUACGUGCCAGCCGCCGCGGUAA
rnacentral:rRNA from 1 species